CGGGGCGUGGCGCAGGCUGGUAGCGCACCUGCUUUGGGAGCAGGGGGUCGCAGGUUCGAAUCCUGCCGCCCCGACCA
rnacentral:tRNA from 1 species